UGGACCUCUCUUACACAAAGAAUUACCUCGCAUGGGAACAAAUUAUUUGAUCGAUGAUCGCUACUCCACCAUCCUUGAAUUUCUUCUUCUCAAUUUCCGUAGGAACAUAUCUGUAGACCUCAUAAUCAUGCAGUUCGAAAAAUCUCACCAUCUUCAACAGCAUCUGUAGCAAUAAACAAGAUUUUCAAAUCAAGUUCCUGCAUUAUCUUUCUCAAUUGUUCAGCCGCGCUCGGGAUCGAUGGUACCGAUUCUGCUCGACCACGCAAGAAAUCGCGUCGUCUCAAAUGGACAGCAAGAUAAGGCCCUCCCUUCGCAUUUCUGUGCCCCUAUAAAUCGGAAUAAUUACUAUUGUAUUUCCCAAAAGGAAAAACUUUGACAUUCAUUUACUUUUUCCUCUGUCCAGUCAGCAAUUCGUGGGGUUUUAUCCUUUGUGUCUUCAGAUUUGAGAUUUUUCAGUCGAAAUUCAUUAGCUGUCUUGUACAAUAGCUCGUUGUAUCGCAUGCUUCGUCGUGCUCUCCAAUAUUCUUGUGAUCCAUAAUGAUCAUGGAGGGCAAUUUCCAUACGAUCAAACAUGAAAGAUCUAGCCGAGAUCAAGACCAUUAUGUUGUUUGUACAGAGGAAUGAUUGGAUUUAGUUCAUCAGAAAUAUUUGUUGGAUUUACUAGAAAAGAUAAUUAGUAUUCAUAAUUCACCUGUAAACUUCAGGCUCCAGAUUCUUUUGCAAACCGGAAGCUGUUCCAUGGAAUAAAAGACAAUUAACGUUC